rnacentral:rRNA from 1 species
GAUGAACGCUGGCGGCGUGCCUAAUACAUGCAAGUCGAGCGAACAGACGAGGAGCUUGCUCCUCUGACGCUAGCGGCGGACGGGUGAGUAACACGUGGAUAACCUACCUAUAAGACUGAGAUAACUUCGAGAAACCGGAGCUAAUACCGGAUAAUAUAUUGAACCGCAUGGUUCAAUAGUGAAAGACCGUUUUGCUGUCACUUAUAGAUGGAUCCGCGCCGCAUUAGCUAGUUGGUAAGGUAACGGCUUACCAAGGCAACGAUGCGUAGGCGACCUGAGAGGGUGGUCGGCCACACUGGAACUGAGACACGGUCCAGACUCCUACGGGAGGCAGCAGUAGGGAAUCUUCCGCAAUGGGCGAAAGCCUGACGGAGCAACGCCGCGUGAGUGAUGAAGGUCUUCGGAUCGUAAAACUCUGUUAUUAGGGAAGAACAAAUGUGUAAGUAACUAUGCACGUCUUGACGGUACCUAAUUAGAAAGCCACGGCUAACUACGUG